rfam:Asanoa hainanensis strain CGMCC 4.5593 genome assembly, contig: Ga0104436_120
UGGGAGCUGAUGUAACCCGGCAGCAUGGUUGCCUCUGAAGCAGCUCGUCCAGGUUCGAAUCCUGGGCUCCCAG